rnacentral:rRNA from 1 species
AGGACGAACGCUGGCGGCGUGCUUAACACAUGCAAGUCGAGCGGUAAGGCCUUUCGGGGUACACGAGCGGCGAACGGGUGAGUAACACGUGGGUGAUCUGCCCUGCACUUCGGGAUAAGCCUGGGAAACUGGGUCUAAUACCGGAUAUGACCUCAGGUUGCAUGACUUGGGGUGGAAAGAUUUAUCGGUGCAGGAUGGGCCCGCGGCCUAUCAGCUUGUUGGUGGGGUAAUGGCCUACCAAGGCGACGACGGGUAGCCGACCUGAGAGGGUGACCGGCCACACUGGGACUGAGACCACGGCCCCAGACUCCUACGGGAGGCAGCAGUGGGGAAUA